CCUANGGGGGGCUGCAGCUAAGAAUCUUCCGCAAUGGGGGAAACCCUGACGGAGCGACGCCGCGUGGACGAUGAAGGCCGAAAGGUUGUAAAGUCCUUUUCUCUGUGAAGAAUAAGUGGGGGAGGAAAUGCCCGCAUGAUGACGUUAGCAGAGGAAUAAGCCCCGGCUAACUACGUGCCAGCAGCCGCGGUAACACGUAGGGGGCGAGCGUUGUUCGGAAUUAUUGGGCGUAAAGGGCGCGCAGGCGGCCGGAUAAGUCUGGUGUUUAAGGCCACAGCUUAACUGUGGUAAUGCGCUGGAAACUGUCGGGCUAGAGUGCAGGAGGGGGAGCUGGAAUUCCAGGUGUAGGGGUGAAAUCUGUAGAGAUCUGGAGGAACACCGGUGGCGAAAGCGCUCAUCUGGCCCAAUACUGACGCUGAGGCGCGAAAGCUAGGGGAGCAAACGGGAUUAGAUACCCGGNUANUC
rnacentral:rRNA from 1 species